rnacentral:rRNA from 1 species
UACGAAGGGGGCUAGCGUUGUUCGGAAUUACUGGGCGUAAAGCGCACGUAGGCGGAUACUUAAGUCAGGGGUGAAAUCCCGGGGCUCAACCCCGGAACUGCCUUUGAUACUGGGUAUCUCGAGUCCGGAAGAGGUGAGUGGAAUUCCGAGUGUAGAGGUGAAAUUCGUAGAUAUUCGGAGGAACACCAGUGGCGAAGGCGGCUCACUGGGGAUUUUCUGACGCUGAGGAACGAAAGCCAGGGGAGCGAACGGG